rnacentral:rRNA from 1 species
AAAAUGAAAAUGGGAGGGAGACCAAGGGGUAUUGCCCUAGUAACGGCGAGUGAAGCGGCAACAGCUCAAAUUUGAAAUCUGGUUCCUUUGGGGUCCGAGUUGUAAUUUGCAGAGGGUGCUUUGGCGUUGGCGGCGGUCUAAGUUCCUUGGAACAGGACAUCACAGAGGGUGAGAAUCCCGUACGUGGUCGCCUGCCUUCGCCGUGUAAAGCCCCUUCGACGAGUCGAGUUGUUUGGGAAUGCAGCUCUAAAUGGGAGGUAAAUUUCUUCUAAAGCUAAAUACCGGCCAGAGACCGAUAGCGCACAAGUAGAGUGAUCGAAAGAUGAAAAGCACUUUGGAAAGAGAGUCAAACAGCACGUGAAAUUGUUAAAAGGGAAGCGCUUGCAGCCAGACUUGCCUGUAGUUGCUCACCCGGGCUUUUGCCCGGGGCACUCUUCUGCAGGCAGGCCAGCAUCAGUUUGGGCGGUCGGACAAAGGCCUCUGACACGUACUUCCUCUCGGGGAUGACAUAUAGGGGAGGCGUAAUGCGACCAGCCUGGACUGAGGUCCGCGCAUCUGCUAGGAUGCUGGCGUAAUGGCUGUAAGCGGCCCGUCUUGAAACACGGACCAAGGAGUCUAACAUCUAUGCGAGUGUUUGGGUGUCAAGCCCGAGCGCGUAAUGAAAGUGAACGGAGGUGGGAACCCCUCGGGGCGCACCAUCGACCGAUCCUGAUGUCUUCGGAUGGAUUUGAGUAAGAGCAUAGCUGUUGGGACCCGAAAGAUGGUGAACUAUGCUUGAAUAGGGUGAAGCCAGAGGAAACUCUGGUGGAGGCUCGCAGCGGUUCUGACGUGCAAAUCGAUCGUCAAAUUUGGGCAUAGGGGCGAAAGACUAAUCGAACUAUCUAGUAGCUGGUUUCCUGCCGAAGUUUCUCUUCACGAUAGCAGUAACGUUUUCAGUUUUAUGAGGUAAAGCGAAUGAUUAGAGCCUGGGGGUUGAAACA